rnacentral:pre_miRNA from 1 species
UAUAUACUCCCUCCAUCCGGAAAUACUUGUCAUCAAAAUGGAUAAAAGGGAUGUAUCUAGAUGUAUUUUAGUUUUAGAUACAUCCCUUUUUGUCCAUUUUGAUGACAAGUAUUUUCGGACGGAGGGAGUAUAAU